rnacentral:lncRNA from 1 species
GACCUCCAUCGUUCUCGUCAUUCCCCUGUGCUCCUGGGGUUGAUCUAGGUUAGUUCCGAAACUUCCUGUUGUUUUUCUGUCCUUCCUUCUUCGUAUUCUGUUUAUUUAGCUUUCUCGGGGGCCUGUCUGCUAUUUUUUUUAAUUUUUCAGGAUUUUUGUGGCUUCCGUCUGAUUUAAAAUAUCCUCUGAUAUCUCCUCCUCUAGCAGUUCUAGGAGUUCGUCAGCCCC